rnacentral:misc_RNA from 1 species
AUUUAAGUGACAACAGAUUAACAAAAUAUCAAAAAACAUUGAAAUUGUAUUUCUUCAAUUGAUUAUUGAGCAUGCGCGAUUUGUAAUCAAAGCUAGUUAACGAUUUACGUUAUUACGUAAUUGAACGAGUUUUUUUUAACGACGAGAAAAGUUAGCAAAUUUCCAAGAAAAAGUCUGAUGCUUCUUUCAAAAUCUGUUAACAAAUUUUUUGAAGUAAUACAUAUCGCUCAAAACAAAAAAAAAUUAGUUUAUAUUGUCUUAAGACUUAUAUCUAAUGCUGUACUUUUAACAUUAACUAAGUGUCUAAAAAAAUGUCUUGUAAGAAAGCUAUUAGUAAUGGAUCGUGGCUUUUGGCAGAAAAAACCUCAAAGACUAAACUUCUUAUGGAGAAACUUGAAAAUAAUUUUUUAAAAGAUAUUCAAAAGCUAAAGCACUCCAAAAAUUACAGUGAUAUGGAUGUUUUCAUCGAAAAAGAAAAUAUGCGAUUGCAUCAUAAAUGUGUUUUACUCUGUUUGGCUCCUACUUUAUACGAGUUUCUGUUUUUAAGUGAGAAUGUUUUUAGCAAAAUUUUUGAUUUUCCAGAAAAUGUUCCACAAAUUGAGAGGAAUUCUUUAAGAAUUGUUUAUAAACAAAAUGAACAAGAUGUCAUUUGCACCAGUCAUGAAGUGGAUAUAACAUCGAUUUUAAAUUCUGCUGUACAUUCAGAUGUUGCAUUUAAAAUAAAUAAUGAUAUUUUACAUUGCCAUAGAUGUAUUUUAUCUGUUCGUUGUGAGUACUUUGAGAUAAUGUUUAGUGGUCACUGGCGUGAAAAAGAUCAAAAUGUUAUUCCUAUAAAUGGAAUGUCAAUGUCGACACUUUGUACUGUUAUUGAGUUUUUAUACAAUCCCAAAAUAAAACUUUCAGAAGAUAUGAAUUUAUUAGAAAUAGCGUCUGCUGCUGACAUGUAUAUGCUUCUUGGAUUAAAAGAGUUAGUACAAUUUUAUUUGGAGCUUCACUAUUGUCAUUUUUUUCAUCAGCCAUGCAACAUUUGCAUAAAACAAAUUUCCCAUGCCAUUUUUAUAUCUGAGCAAUAUGGCUAUACAGAUCUCUCUGUUAAAUGUUAUAACUGGCUUGCUAAGCAUUAUGCUGUUGUGUUUGCAAAUAGAGAUUUUAAUAGCUGUAGACAAGAUUAUAAAGAAUUAAUUAUUGAUAAAAUAAAGCUUUCUGUUUCUUCUGUUAAUGUUUUGCAACAUCUCAAAUUUUGCAGCAAACUAAUUAAAACUUUGCCAUCUACAAACUGGGCUAAUAAAACACAAGACUUAAUCUCUGAAUUAAAUUCUUUUUGUUUAAAGUUUGUUUGUGACAAUUUUGAAAAAAUUUCCAAACAUCCAUCCUUUAUACUUGUGUGUUAUGAUAAAAAGAAUUUCAUAUGGAUGGAUAUGGCACAAGAUUUUAUUGUAACAGCCAUUAAAACAUACAUAAGCAUAGAAAAUUGUGUGAAUGUUCAUUUUGGAUUAGUUCAAAUAAAUAACAUUUUAAAUGUAUUAAAGAGAAACAAUGAAUGUGAAGGUGAAGAGCAUUGUAAUUCUUUUUUAUCUAAACUUGAUGAUGUAUUCAAACAUUUUAUUACAAAAAACUUUCAUGGAAUUUGCAGAGCUUCAUAUUGGAAAACUUUAAGCAAAGAAACACAAAAAUUGUUCAAAGAAAAUUCUGGUUUUUUAGUUUCAUAAAAAUUAGCAAGUAAUGUAAAUACACAAGCAUGUACAAAAAUUAGGUAUUCUUGGUUCUUUAUUUUCAUUUUUGCAGUUUUUAUCGAGUCCAAUAGUGGGUGCAUGUUCUGACAUCUUUGGAAGAAAGAAAGUUCUCCUCUUUACAAUGUUUGGUACAACAUUAUCUU